rnacentral:rRNA from 1 species
CAGCAGCCGCGGUAAUGGGUAGGUGGCAAGCGUUGUCCGGAAUUAUUGGGCGUAAAGCGCGCGCAGGUGGUUUAAUAAGUCUGAUGUGAAAGCCCACGGCUCAACCGUGGAGGGUCAUUGGAAACUGUUAAACUUGAGUGCAGGAGAGAAAAGUGGAAUUCCUAGUGUAGCGGUGAAAUGCGUAGAGAUUAGGAGGAACACCAGUGGCGAAGGCGGCUUUUUGGCCUGUAACUGACACUGAGGCGCGAAAGCGUGGGGAGCAAACAGGAUUAGAUACCCCUGUAGUCCCUGUCUCUUAUAC